CCGGUUGAUCCUGCCGGAGGCUACCGCUAUUGGAGUUCGAUUAAGCCAUGCGAGUCGCGAGUCUUAGGGACUCGGCGUACCGCUCAGUAACACGUGGGUAACCUGCCCUAUGCUGGGGGAUAACCUCGGGAAACUGAGAAUAAUACCCCAUAGUUCACCACGCCUGGAACGGUGGGUGGACCAAAGCUCCGGCGGCAUAGGAUGGGCCUGCGGCGUAUCAGGUUGUAGGGGGUGUAAUGUACCCUCUAGCCCUCUACGCGUACGGGUGUUGAGAGACAUCGCCCGGAGAUGGAUUCUGAGACACGAAUCCAGACCCUACGGGGUGCAGCAGGCGCGAAAACUUGGCAAUGCGAGAAAUCGUGACCAGGGAACUCCAAGUGCAUCGGGUAAGACCGAUGCUUUUCUUGACUCUUCAAAGGUCUUGGAAUAAGGGGUGGGUAAGGACGGUGCCAGCCGCCGCGGUAAUACCGGCGCCCCAAGUGGUAGUCGCUUUUAUUGGGCCUAAAACGUCCGUAGCCGGUCUGGUACAUUCGUGGGUAAAUCAACCAGCUCAACUGGUUGAAUUCUGCGAGCACGGCCAGACUUGGGACCGGGAGAGGUGUGGGGUACUCUCAGGGUAGGGGUAAAAUCCUGUCAUCCUGAGAGGACCACCUGUUGCGAAGGCGCCACACUAGAACGGAUCCGACGGUCAGGGACGAAGCCUAGGGGCACGAACCGGAUUAGAUACCCGGGUAGUCCUAGGUGUAAACGCUGUGGACUUGAUGUUGGGGGCGCUCCGAGCGCACUCAGUGUCGAAGCGAAGGUGAUAAGUCCACUGCCUGGGGAGUACGGUCGCAAGGCUGAAACUUAAAGGAAUUGGCGGGGGAGCACCGCAACCUGAGGAUUGUGCGGUUUAAUUGGAUCAACGCCGGG
rnacentral:rRNA from 1 species